GACAUUAAACUGUGUAGGGUCGAAGUUUUGGAGUACAUCUUUUUGAUAUUGCAAUUAAAGUAAAAUUAAAAAGAAAA
ensembl:misc_RNA predicted gene, 27645